rnacentral:lncRNA from 1 species
ACUAGAUCUGAUUCUUCUGCUUCAGCCUGCCGAAUGCUGCUGGGGUUAAGGGCAGCAAAACCAACAGAAAUCAGAAUGGUCCACACUUCCUUCUGGGAAGAGGAACAAUGUCCAUAAAAGAUUAAAAAAAUAAUAAAGAAGCAUGACUAUUUCUUCCAGCGUGGGUGACCCACAAGCUCACAUGGUCCUAAGUGCUUAGUAACUUGUAUUUUCUAAUCAAAUGAAGAACUGCUUUGAGUGCGCAAAGCAAUCCAUGGUGAAAAGAUUUCCCUGAACUCCUCAGUGGAAAGAAGAGGUGUCGAGAUUUUCAGGGCUUAGACAGGAAUUCUGUCAACAUAUUAGGACCCAAAUAGCUUCAGGAUAAAGAUGGAUUGGGUGAUGAAUCACACAGGCCAACUUGAAUCUACUGCUAAAAUCCCACUCAUGUCAUGGACAGUGGACCCGAUACGCUGUUGAGAGUGUGCUACACCCCAUCAGUGGGUGCCAAGUGCUGCUGCAUGCUGAGAUGCUGAUGAAGAGGACUUGAAGGUAUGAAUUCAUUGCUGAAGAUAACACACACCUCUGGGACGCAGGACUUGAGGGAAGUCACCUGGAACUGACUGAAGGUCCCUCUGCAUGGAAGAGCUUCCAGAGUGAGGGAGAGCUCGUUUCCUCAUGGGUGCCCAAGCCUGCAUGCUCUCACUAAAUUACUGUUGGGCCACUGCUGAAGCUGCUGUAGACAUUCAAGUGGUCUCAUGUCGACCAUCUGACAAACAUGAUGUUAUUCAUGUAAAUUGAAAAUCAAUCAAAGAUUUUGAUAUUUUUUAUAGGAGAGAUGUGUUCUUUAAAUUUAUUUUUCCAUUCUGGGGAUUGGACACAGACCUCAUUCGUGUUAGGAUCUGGAUGACAUCUUCUUUAGGGAAAAGGGAAAGCUAGUAUCUGCAGAGACAUUUGGACCUAUGGUGGGACUUCCUUGGAAAACGUGCAAGAUGUACAAAGGGUAUAACACUAAAUGUCUUAAGAAAGUUCUUAUUAAGCAAGUUGAUGAUCAUCCAAGAGAACUGCAUUCUCGUUUACUUUGUUUCCUAAGGAAACCUCUUUGGAUACAGCAUUAGUAAGCACCUGUAAUAGCACUGCAGCUAAAGCGAAAUGGGCAGAGACAGGACGAUCCGAGAUGCUCACAGGACUAGACAGCCCAGCAUAUGCAUCAGUGAACAGGAGGGUCUGUCUCCAACAAGGUGAGAGGACCUUCCAGUGAGCCUGACAUAGAGAAGGGUCUGGCAGGCCGGGGCUGGUGCCUGGAGGAGAAACCAUGCUCAGUGCAGUAGCAGAUUAUGUCAUGACCACAAAUGAGGGGGGGCCUAUCAGCCCAGGAAUGCAGGAGAAACACAGGCACUGAACAGAACAGAACAGAACCUGCCUAAGUGAAGACUUCUGGAGAUGUGACAUGAAGGGGCUGGCAAGGACCCAAGAAAGCAGAUGGUUGUUAGAACAGAAAUGGAUAUUUGUAGAUGUAAAAAGAAAGCAGGUUUUGUGGAUGACUGCAAAGAAAUCUAGAGCCUGCGGUGGCCACAGUGAACGAAGGAAUAGCAAUCUGAAUUGGACAAGUUUGAAAGAAGAAUGAAGAUAGACUGUUGGAAGAAUGAACACUGUAACAUUUUGCAUUUUUUCAGAACGUGUACAAGAGGGUUUGAGUGUGGGAGUAUUGGCAGCAUUGAUGAAGGCUUUCUGAAAAUCAUUACCCAGAAUAAGAUGUUCCCAUUUGUACAUAAGACAGGCAUUCAACAGUACAGUAAUACUCUAAUAUGUGUGGUUCAUGAACAUAAAACUGAGAUGAAAUUCAAGGAUGAUGUCUUUUAUCUGGUAAGAAGACCGAUGGUCAGGCAUUGGUAUUUGUGGGUUCAUCAGAAUUUUAAGAGCCUCUAGGCUACAUUU